AGAGUUUGAUCCUGGCUCAGAACGAACGCUGGCGGCAGGCUUAACACAUGCAAGUCGAACGCCCCGCAAGGGGAGUGGCAGACGGGUGAGUAACGCGUGGGAAUCUACCUUGUUCUACGGAACAACUGAGGGAAACUUCAGCUAAUACCGUAUACGCCCUAAGGGGGAAAGAUUUAUCGGAAUAAGAUGAGCCCGCGUAAGAUUAGCUAGUUGGUGAGGUAAUGGCUCACCAAGGCGACGAUCAGUAGCUGGUCUGAGAGGAUGAUCAGCCACACUGGGACUGAGACACGGCCCAGACUCCUACGGGAGGCAGCAGUGGGGAAUAUUGGACAAUGGGCGCAAGCCUGAUCCAGCCAUGCCGCGUGAGUGAUGAAGGCCCUAGGGUUGUAAAGCUCUUUUAGCGGGGAAGAUAAUGACGGUACCCGCAGAAUAAGCCCCGGCUAACUUCGUGCCAGCAGCCGCGGUAAUACGAAGGGGGCUAGCGUUGCUCGGAAUCACUGGGCGUAAAGGGCGCGUAGGCGGAUCUUUAAGUCGGGGGUGAAAGCCCAGGGCUCAACCCUGGAAUUGCCUUCGAUACUGAAGAUCUCGAGACCGGAAGAGGUUAGUGGAACUGCGAGUGUAGAGGUGAAAUUCGUAGAUAUUCGCAAGAACACCAGUGGCGAAGGCGGCUAACUGGUCCGGUUCUGACGCUGAGGCGCGAAAGCGUGGGGAGCAAACAGGAUUAGAUACCCUAGUAGUCC
rnacentral:rRNA from 1 species